GCCGGGGUGUCGAAAUUGGUAUACGAUCUCGUCUCAAAAACGAGAGAGCUUAACGCUCGUGAGGGUUCGAGUCCCUCUCCCGGCA
rfam:Candidatus Curtissbacteria bacterium RIFCSPLOWO2_01_FTLL_42_50 rifcsplowo2_01_scaffold_132, whole genome shotgun sequence.